AGGUUCUUCCUGACAAUCUGGUGAGAGUGAUACAGAUUCUCUCUGAGUUUAUACAGUUGUCUUUUUAAUGCCUAGAUGUCCAGACACUAUUGAGUUGUGCAUCUGUUGUAAUACUUCUUCACGCAAGGAAUGUGGUAACAAUAGUUGAAGGGUCCACAUUUUAACUUUGUGUCAACAGAACAUUCACAACUAUGAGGAUUGGGGUAUCUUGAUAAAGCAUCAGCAUUGCCG